rnacentral:rRNA from 1 species
UACGUAGGAGGCGAGCGUUGUCCGGAAUUACUGGGCGUAAAGAGCGCGUAGGCGGCGCGGUACGACCGCUGUGAAAGCCCCCAGCUCAACUGGGGAGGGUCAGCGGUAACGGCCGUGCUAUGAGUGCAGGAGAGGGAAGUGGAACUCCGGGAGUAGCGGUGAAAUGCGUAGAUAUCAGGAGGAACACCUGUGGUGUAGACGGCUUUCUGGACCAUAGCUGACGCUGAGACACGAAAGCGUGGGUAGCAAACAGG